UGAUGGCUAUGUGUUACUGGCUACAAUUGUGUAGGCAGCAAUAUGGGAGAUCUAUUGAGCUCACAAGCGGGGGCAUUCAUUUGCUGCUGAUAUGGUUCCAAUUUUGAGCACUCCGGGUCCUUUUUAUGGGACAUCAAACCUGAACUUUAAUCCAGUAUUGUAUUCCCUUCAGAAUUUGUAGGGUAAAAUCAGGACGUGAGCAUCAUUUCCUCUAGUAGUUUUAUUUGACUAAUGGUG
rnacentral:misc_RNA from 1 species